UACGGGGGGAGCAAGCGUUGUUCGGAUUUACUGGGCGUAAAGGGCGCGUAGGCGGCCACUGCAAGUCGGUUGUGAAAUCUCCGGGCUUAACCCGGAAAGGUCAAUCGAUACUACAGGGCUAGAGUGCAGAAGGGGCAACUGGAAUUCUCGGUGUAGCGGUGAAAUGCGUAGAUAUCGAGAGGAACACCUGCGGCGAAGGCGGGUUGCUGGGCUGACACUGACGCUGAAGCGCGAAAGCUAGGGGAGCGAACGGG
rnacentral:rRNA from 1 species